rnacentral:rRNA from 1 species
CAAGGCUUGACAUGAACCGGAAAGACCUGGAAACAGGUGCCCCGCUUGCGGUCGGUUUACAGGUGGUGCAUGGUUGUCGUCAGCUCGUGUCGUGAGAUGUUGGGUUAAGUCCCGCAACGAGCGCAACCCUCGUUCUAUGUUGCCAGCGGUUCGGCCGGGGACUCAUAGGAGACUGCCGGGGUCAACUCGGAGGAAGGUGGGGACGACGUCAAAUCAUCAUGCCCCUUAUGUCUUGGGCUUCACGCAUGCUACAAUGGCCGGUACAAAGGGUUGCGAUACUGUGAGGUGGAGCUAAUCCCAAAAAGCCGGUCUCAGUUCGGAUUGGGGUCUGCAACUCGACCCCAUGAAGUCGGAGUCGCUAGUAAUCGCAGAUCAGCAACGCUGCGGGAAUACGUCCCGAGGCAC